rnacentral:rRNA from 1 species
UACGAAGGGGGCUAGCGUUGCUCGGAAUCACUGGGCGUAAAGGGUGCGUAGGCGGGUCUUUUAGUCAGGGGGGAAAUCCUGGAGCUCAACUCCAGAACUGCCUUUGAUACUGAGGAUCUUGAGUUCGGGAGAGGUGAGUGGAACUGCGAGUGUAGAGGUGAAAUUCGUAGAUAUUCGCAAGAACACCAGUGGCGAAGGCGGCUCACUGGCCCGAUACUGACGCUGAGGCACGAAAGCGUGAGGAGCAAACAGG